GUAGGCCUCCGCGUUUGCGACUUCGUGUGAUAUGGUCAAGGCUACUUUCCGUACACCACCAGCCUGUUUUAUUGAAAGAGAUAACGAAUGUUUUAAUUCAAGAGGUGGCGUCAUCUCAAUUGGUUCGAGUUGUAGAUGCAACUGUUGGUGGUUGUGGACAUACAACAAGAAUUCUAGGCAGACUCAAAUUAAAAGUGUUCCAGAUGAAUUGAGGCAGAACUGGCUAAACAGUUACAUGUAUGGAAUAGACAGAGAUCCGGUUGCUAUUGGUAUUGCCAGUCAGAUGGCUGAGAGUCAAGAGUAUAAGAACAGACUGUUUCCAGUGAUUGGAAGGUUUAGUAAUAUGCAGCCACUGUUGAAAUCAGCAGAUGUUGGUUUGAUGAUCCAAGUCGUGGAUUUUCUCAGUCAAGCUGGACCUUUAGACAUGAGGAUGGACCGCGGUGCACCAUUUUGUCAAGCUAACACAGCAGCAGAUAUUGUCAAUCAGGCCACUGUCGAUGACCUCUCACUAAUACUAAUGCAGUUUGAAGAGGAAAGAAAGGCAAAAGUGAUUGCUAGAGAAAUCAACAAAUUGCGACAGAAACAAGCCAUAACACAAACUGAUCAGUUGGCUUGUAUUGUAAAAGAAUCAGUUGGUAGAAAAUAUGCUCACACAAGAAGAGACAAAUUAGCUCGGCCUGCACAUCCUGCCACAAAGACAUUUCAAGCGUUUCGAAUAUAUGUCAACAAUGAACUCUUUGAGUUGCAACAAGGGCUGAACGCAGCAAGUGUGAUGCUUAGACAGGGCGGACUGCUUGCUCUCAUAUCUUUCCAUUCAUUAGAAGACAGAAUAGUUAAACGGUUCCUGCAAGGAGAUCCAGAUUUGUAUACAAAAAGAUCAAGUCAGUAUUAUAAACUGCUGAGAGGUAAUGUGCCAUGCAGAUUUAAAGGAGAGUUCUGAAAUGGCAAAACAGCCACUAUUUCGUCUUCUUAACAGAAAAGUUGGUUGGCAUGCAAAACAUUAAGGCAAAACUGCAUGGUCAUGUGCUAUACCUUUUAUGAAUGGUGAUCGUUCCUUCUCUUGAAGAAAUCCACCUCAAUCCUCAGUCUCGUUCAGCUCAUCUUCGUAUAGCAAAAAAUCGACAACACAUCAUAUGUGUGUCACAGGCAGCACAACACACACUGUACAGGAAUGAGAAA